AUUGAACGCUGGCGGCAGGCCUAACACAUGCAAGUCGAGCGAGCGACGGAUGGGUGAGUAAUGGCUGGGAACCUGCCAGACGGAGGGGGAUACCUAAUAGAAACGGUAGCUAAUACAGCAUACCAACGAAUGUGCCCAGAUCGGGUUAGUUAGUAGGUGGGGUAAAGGCUCACCUAGGUGAUGAUACCUAGCUCGUCUGAGAGGAUUACCAGCCACACUGGAACUGAGACACGGUCCAGACUCCUACGGGAGGCAGCAGUGGAGAAUAUUGCACAAUGGGCACCAGCCUGAUGCAGCCAUGCCGCGUGUAUGAAGAAGGCCUUCGGGUUGUAAAGUACUUUCAGCUGGGAGGCGUUACCCACAGAAUAAGCACCGGCUAACUCCGUGCCAGCAGCCGCGGUAAUAC
rnacentral:rRNA from 1 species